rnacentral:rRNA from 1 species
UAAGGAAUAUUGGUCAAUGGACGAAAGUCUGAACCAGCCAUGCCGCGUGAAGGAUUAAGGCCCUCUGGGUUGUAAACUUCUUUUAUCUGGGACGAAAAAAGGGUAUUCUUACUCACUUGACGGUACCAGAGGAAUAAGCACCGGCUAACUCCGUGCCAGCAGCCGCGGUAAUACGGAGGGUGCAAGCGUUAUCCGGAUUUACUGGGUUUAAAGGGUGCGUAGGUGGGUUUGUAAGUCAGUGGUGAAAUCU